UACGUAGGCAGCAAGCGUUGUUCGGAGUUACUGGGCGUAAAGGGCUCGUAGGCGGCCAACUAAGUCGGACGUGAAAUCCCCAGGCUCAACCUGGGAACUGCGUCCGAUACUGGAUGGCUUGAAUUCGGGAGAGGGAUGCAGAAUUCCAGGUGUAGCGGUGAAAUGCGUAGAUAUCUGGAGGAAUACCGGUGGCGAAGGCGGCGACCUGGGCCAAGAUUGACGCUGAGGUGCGAAAGCGUGGGGAGCAAACAGG
rnacentral:rRNA from 1 species